AUACGUAGGUGGCAAGCGUUAUCCGGAUUUACUGGGUGUAAAGGGCGUGUAGGCGGGCCUGCCAGUCAGGUGUGAAAUUCCAGGGCUCAACCCUGGAACUGCACUUGAAACUGGGGGUCUUGAGUGAUGGAGAGGCAGGCAGAAUUCCGGGUGUAGCGGGGGAAUGCGUAGAUAUACGGAGGAACACCAGUGGCGAAGGCGGCCUGCUGGACAUUAACUGACGCUGAGGCGCGAAAGCGUGGGGAGCAAACAGGAUUAGAUACCCUGGUAGUCCACGCUGUAAACGAUGGAUACUAGGUGUGGGGGGUCUGACCCCCUCCGUGCCGCAGUUAACACAAUAAGUAUCCCACCUGGGGAGUACGAUCGCAAGGUUGAAACUCAAAGGAAUUGACGGGG
rnacentral:rRNA from 1 species